CUCGGGUUGUGAAAUGGAGUGGAAGGCUUGUAUUCAGACAUGGGUCAGCUAUCUGAAAGACUAUGUGGCACUGGACAAGGACUUGAGCCCUUGUCUCUUCAUCAAGGCACAAAGUCCAGGACAAGAAGAUUGAUGCACUUGAUCCAGACAUGGAGCUUGAGAAGAGAAUCAUCCCUAGAUCAAAUGAAAGAGGCCCCCCCCCCCUCCGCAAAUUGCAUAAACUUCAAGACCCACAAACCCUGGAUUAUCUCUCAUGGAGGACUGAGUUUUAAAGUCAGAAGAUAAAGUAGGAACUGACAAGCUCAUGCCUCACAGCAUGCUCUUGGAAAGCACACAGGAGAGGUGAAGAAUCAGGAUACCCUGAGAUCUGAAAAGAAGAUGAGGAAAAUGGGGCUCAGAAUAUUUGAGCAAAUACUUCAGUUCCCACCUCUAGUAAAUGGAGGAGCAGAACGUCAGACCCAGAUAAAUGCUGGAACCUCCUUUUCCUGGUGUCCCCAGUUGACCUGCAGCUCCUUUGUGUCCAGGACAAGGAGGAUUGAACCUAUGUUCUACAGGAAGUCAGGCCUGUGACAGAUCAGUGUCCAAAGUCUUCCUGUAUGUUGUGGCUGUUUCUGUUAAGCAGUGUCUUCAAAGGUCUAAUGAAGGAGGCCACCAUGGUGCCUGCAUGUCACAGAAAGAAUGUGGGCUCACAUCUUCACAAUGGCAGAGAUGGGUACAAAAGCAAAGACCACAUCAGUUUUGAAGCAUUUCCACCUGUGAUGUUUGACAUCCUUCAGGCACGGUCUGAGAGAGGGACUGGACCAGCAUCUUCUGAACAUUGUAUUGUGGGGGAAAGACACAGAUAUGAGGAGCUCUUCCCCCUGCAGAUACACCUGUGGCACGAGCCACCCUUCCCCCAUCCCCUAAGGCAGAGUCUCCUCUCCAUCCCGUGCACACCCUUGUUGGUUUAUAGGUCCCCACUAUUAGAUGAGUAAUAAACAGUAGGAUAUAAGCUUCCCUUCUGGCCAAUCCCAGAGCUAAAGUAACAUGUUCAAACACCAUGUUAUUAUUAUUACCAAUGAUAAUAAGAGGAAUAAUGAGCAAGAAUUGCUUUUAUUAAAUAAAUCAGGAAAAUGCACUUUACAACAUGUUCCAGAGACAUGUCAAGAGGCUCUCUAAAUGUCUGGAUGGUGUUGGAGCUUGCGUUGCUCACCAUUAUGAGGGAGUUUUUCUACAAUUACUGGUCUCUCAACAGCAGGUUAGGACUCAUCUUAUAAAUAUAUAAUAACAUAAACGGGCUUUCUGUUUAUCAACUACUAUCUUAUAAGUGUGUGCUUUCCUCCUAUAAAUCCCCCUUUUUAAUAGGUGCAUUUUUAAAUGAUACCAUAAUUGUAGCCAUUUAAAGACUAAGAUAUUUAACCUUGAUCUGUUGCUAUUUUUGUCAGUUUUGGAAUUAAAAGGGAAAUCUUAGUUUCCUCAGCUCUGUAACCUUCUUUAGGGUCAAGUGCAGUGAUCUGAGCAUGCCAAGCAUGCCAUAAAGGUGCCCAGUAAGUGGUUUUUUUUUUUUUUUUGAGUGAAUGAAUAACUACAGAGAUCUUGUAGUUCAUCUACAUCACUCUCUUGCAUUCUAGGUUCUAUCUGAAACUAUCCUAGAAAGGUAGCAAUAAUAAUGUAGGAGAAGGGAGCCUGGCUGACUCAGUUG